CAGUCGCCGCGGUAAUACAGAGGGUGCGAGCGUUAAUCGGAUUUACUGGGCGUAAAGCGUGCGUAGGCGGCUCCUUAAGUCGGAUGUGAAAUCCCUGAGCUUAACUUAGGAAUUGCAUUCGAUACUGGGAAGCUAGAGUAUGGGAGAGGAUGGUAGAAUUCCAGGUGUAGCGGUGAAAUGCGUAGAGAUCUGGAGGAAUACCGAUGGCGAAGGCAGCCAUCUGGCCUAAUACUGACGCUGAGGUACGAAAGCAUGGGGAGCAAACAGGAUUAGAUACCCCAGUAGUCCCUGUCUCUUAUAC
rnacentral:rRNA from 1 species